AACGCAUCUUGCGCUCUUGGGUUAUUCCUAAGAGCAUGCUUGUUGGAGUGUCGCGAAAUUCUCAACCCCGCCCUAUUCUCGGAUAAGGUUGCUUGGGUUUGGAUCAUGACCUUUUUGCCGAAACGUCUAUGUAUCGGCUGGGUUGAAAUAUAUCAAGCUGAAUGAAUCUAUGCGGCUUGACCUAUCGUUGUAAGCAUCCACUUUCGAUAGGAACGCAUAAACGUCAAUGAGCUUUCCAAACGGAUGAACGCUGCGCAAGGUCUGUCAUGGACUAAGCACAGUGCAUUUUGACCUCCAAUCAAGUAGGACUACCCGCUGAACUUAA
rnacentral:misc_RNA from 1 species